rnacentral:rRNA from 1 species
GACGAACGCUGGCGGCGUGCCUAAUACAUGCAAGUAGGACGCUGAAGGAGGAGCUUGCUUCUCUGGAUGAGUUGCGAACGGGUGAGUAACGCGUAGGUAACCUGCCUGGUAGCGGGGGAUAACUAUUGGAAACGAUAGCUAAUACCGCAUAAUAGCAGUUAUUGCAUGAUAACUGUUUGAAAGGUGCAAUUGCACCACUACCAGAUGGACCUGCGUUGUAUUAGCUAGUUGGUGGGGUAACGGCUCACCAAGGCGACGAUACAUAGCCGACCCGAGAGGGUUAUCGGCCAAACUGGGACUGAGACACGGCCCAGACUCCUACGGGAGGCAGCAGUAGGGGAUCUUCGGCAAUGGACGGAAGUCUGACCGAGCAACGCCGCGUGAGUGAAGAAGGUUCUCGGAUCGUAAAGCUCUGUUGUAAGAGAAGAACGAGUGUGAGAGUGGAAAGUUCACACUGUGACGGUAUCUUACCAGAAAGGGACGGCUAACUACGUG